rnacentral:rRNA from 1 species
GCACAGGUGCUGCAUGGCUGUCGUCAGCUCGUGUCGUGAGAUGUCCGGUUAAGUCCGGUAACGAGCGCAACCCUUGCUGUAUGUUACAUGUGUCAUACGGGACUGCCGGUAUCAAGCCGGAGGAAGGUGGGGAUGACGUCAAGUCAGCAUGGCCUUUAUGUCUGGGGCUACACACACGCUACAAUGGCCAGUACAAUAGGUUGCAAAGCCGCGAGGUGGAGCCAAUCCUUAAAGCUGGUCUCAGUUCGGAUUGCAGGCUGCAACUCGCCUGCAUGAAGUCGGAGUUGCUAGUAACCGCGCGUCAGCUAUAGUGCGGUGAAUACGUUCCCGGGCCUU